ensembl:lncRNA LINC01224 long intergenic non-protein coding RNA 1224
AUUUGGCGGGGCUUUUGUCUCUCGCUGCAGCCAGAGCUUGGGAUCGCUUUCUGCUAUUCAACGUCCUCCACCUCUGCCCCCCUCUCGCCCCAGCCGGUGACAGGCUGUUGCCCUGUGAUCUGCAGGUCCUGGGACGUGCACAGACAGCUAAGAUGCCAGGACAUUCCAGAAGGUGGGAAAGGGGAUCGUCACUCCCGUGGAUGAUCAAAGCUACUCCGGGGGCUGAGGCAGGAGAAUCGCUUGAACUCGGGAAGCAGAAGUUGCAGUGAGCCAAGGUCGCACCACUGCACUCCAGCCCAGGCGACAUUGUGAGACUCCAUCUCAAAAAAAAAAAAAAGAAAAAAAGUGUACUAACAAGACCCAGCACACAGAGGAGACUUUUACCAUUGUAUGAACACCCAUCAAACAGUACACAUCAUCAUUGUGAGUUCUGAAUCUCACACAUAGAGGAAGUCAAAGGUGGAAAACUUGACUCUCAUAUUUGGAUCCAGUCCACAGGUGUGAUUUUGACGCACACUUCUGCCCAGCACCUGAGUAAUGUGAUUCUUCAGAAUUGGCC